rnacentral:rRNA from 1 species
GGACGGUAGACAGGGGUUGCCCCUGUUGAGAGUGGCGGACUGGUGAGUAACGCGUGGGUGACNUGCCCUGUGGCCGGGGAUAGCCGUUAGAAAUAGCGGGUAAUACCGGAUGUGGUUAUUGGACUGUGGUCUGGUAACGAAAGGAGNUAAGGUUCCGCCAUAGGAUGGGCCCGCGUCCCAUUAGCUGGUUGGGGGGGUAACGGCCCACCAAGGCGAUGAUGGGUAGCCGGCCUGAGAGGGUGAACGGCCACAUUGGGACUGAGAUACGGCCCAAAUUUCCUACGGGAGGCAGCAGCUAAGAAUAUUCCGCAAUGGACGAAAGNCUGACGGAGCGACGCCGCGCGGAUGACGAAGGCCGGAAGGUUGUAAAANCCUUUUGCCGCUGAAGAAUAAGCGGGGUAGGGAAUGACCCCGUGAUGACGUUAGNGCGGUGAAUGGGCCCC